rnacentral:sRNA from 1 species
AAAGAAUUCGAGGGCGAGCUGGUGGUGUUAAACAGCAACUUUUACUGAAGCGGCAAUGCACAGCAAGAGCAGAGGUACUGUUCCUUGUG